rnacentral:antisense_RNA from 1 species
CUUCAACGACCCCAGGAGCAGGGGCUGUUCGGCGGGCCGAUCCUGACCGUAGGUCGCGAGGAGGGCCUGUGCUUC